AAGACUUUAGGUUAAUCCAAACCAAAGGCCUUCAAAGCCUUCGAUAAGUUAACAAAACUUAAGUCUUG
rnacentral:tRNA from 1 species